rnacentral:rRNA from 1 species
CCUACGGGACGGCAGCAGUAGGGAAUCUUCCGCAAUGGGCGAAAGCCUGACGGAGCAACGCCGCGUGAGUGAUGAAGGUCUUGGAUCGUAAAACUCUGUUAUUAGGGAAGAACAAACGUGUAAGUAACUGUGCACGUCUUGACGGUACCUAAUCAGAAAGCCACGGCUAACUACGUGCCAGCAGCCGCGGU